GUAGCUUUCUUGUAUUUUGUUACUUUUCAGGCGGUUAUCUUCGCCGAGUGCUAACACUUCUGCUCUGCGGUUGUCCAGCGUCUUCCCGGGUUGCCUCUUUUACUCCUCUUGCAUUUUCUCUUCGCCUCAUCCCCGCCAUCUUCUUCCCAGCUUGCUUGCAUUUGCUUUUGCACCCUUAGAGGGUUGCACAGACUUCAAGCUGCGUGGUGGUGAGCAUAAUGGAUUGUUCUGUGAUCUGUUCUCUCUUGUGCCCUUCUACAUGUCCAAGAAAAAUGUGGAUAAAUAAAUAAAAUAAUGAUACAGAAUGAAGUUCUUCACCCAUAGAAGCUUGACGUAUGCAUGCCCUGGGUAAGAACUCAGGGAUGCUGCAUGACUAGUGUCGCCGCGUUCUCUGGCCGAUCCCACGGCCGUGCAGGAAGCUGGGUCUGUGUCUGGAUGGUCAGCCGCGUUGCAGCAACGUACCCCCAUUUCCUUGGAGGUGUCACUGUCAGGGACCCUGAGGGAAGUCAAGCACACCAAAAUACAGCUUCACUUCCAGAAACGGCCGCAUAUGACAUGGAAUUGAAGGUUGAGGUUUAAUUCCAUCGUGGAAUCUGUCACUGGCCAAUGACUGCAGCAAAGAACAAUAGGACACUCCCAGGUCGUAAGAAAGCAGAGUGUGACUACAACACCCUACAGUACAACCCAGAGCAAGGCCUGGGGACCUCAGGACAUUGCCCGAUGUCUACGGCUUUGAUGAGUAGUGGAGAAGAUGCUGAAACAGGGGUCCUCCAGCAAGUAUGAUCUAUUAGCAAUGGACUAAAUCCAAGGUAUACCACCUCUUUGUAACUUUGCUGAUGAUAAAUAAAUAGAUAGAUAACUUAUGAUAGAUGGGUGACAGACACUGACAGAUAGAUGAUGAUGAAGAUAGAUAGCUGUAGAUAGAUUGAUUUAGUAAAAUCUGAGAAACAGAAAGAUGAAAUAAAAUGGACAGUCCAAGGUAACACUGCCAAAGGUACUCCAAGCCUGAGAAUUAAUAUUCAAGGGAAAAAAGAAAACAACAUAAAUACGGAUAAUUCCUCUUUGCUAACUCUGCUUUGUUCAGGAAAAGAAGGUACAAGAAGUAUAGCCAAAAUGUUGAACUUCCUCAAGAUUUGCCAUAUGGAUUAAUCUGUCCAAUAAUGAACACACCCCAAAACAAGAGGGCAAUACCUAAUCCUCAAAACCUUCUGUCCACAAACAAAGCAAAAACCUGCUGUUUACAAAUUCUUGAUGGAAACAACAGUCCACAAUUGGCCAUUUAUUAUUACUUAUAGCAACAUGGAAUAUGAAAAGAGAAUUUUUGCCUGGUUCUUUAUUCUUGUUUUUACUCUGAUUGUUCCAAGUGCUAUACACGCAUAUGUAAAUUCCAGAAAGAUUAAACAUUGGCUGGCUCAUUGAGUCUGUUUCUC